UCCCUGGUGGUCCAGUGGCUAAGACUCUGUGCUCCCAAUGCAGGGGGCCUGGGUUCAAUCCCUGGUCAAGGAA
rnacentral:tRNA from 1 species